UGGACGGAAGCUAAAGUGGUCCCGGCAUCUGGCUUUUAACCAGACCUUAGUGAGUUCGAGUCUCACCCGUUCAA
rnacentral:tRNA from 2 species